rnacentral:misc_RNA from 1 species
UGCAGGUUGGCCGACCGUG